CACGGGGCAAGGUUUCAGUGGAUGAAUGGUUGCCAUUAUCACCAGGUAUGGGGGCACAAAAGCAUGAUUCCUUAAAGUACACAUUCCUAUUACUAUUCAGAAGAAGGCUUACUUGUUAAUGAAGAUCUGGGUUAGUUACCUAAACAAGUGGUGCAGCCCUUUGACUUCUUGUCCAGGAGGAACCCAUAAAUCUCAACAAUAGGAAGAUUAGAAAGAAAUUUAGAACAGAAUGCAAAGAUUUGAACAGAUAAAUUGUUUUAAGAAGACAUGUGGAUGACAGCUAAGUGGAUGGAAAGAUGUUGGACACCAUUUGCUCCUGGUAUAGACAGAUUAAAUCACCAUGGGAUAUGCGAGGUGUCUGCCAACGUAUUCCAACCCAAUGAUGAUUCCAAGUGUUGUCAGACAUAUGGAGAACCUGGGACCUCAGAUAUACUCCCCAGGAGAAAAAGUGGUG
rnacentral:lncRNA from 1 species